UACGUAGGGAGCAAGCGUUGUCCGGAAUCAUUGGGCGUAAAGCGCGCGUAGGUGGCUUCGUAAGUCCGUUGUGAAAGUCAAAGGCUCAACCUUUGAAAGCCGAUGGAUACUGCGGAGCUAGAGUACGGAAGAGGCGAGUGGAAUUCCUGGUGUAGCGGUGGAAUGCGCAGAUAUCAGGAGGAACACCAAUAGCGAAGGCAGCGCGCUGGGACGUUACUGACACUGAGGCGCGAAAGCGUGGGGAGCGAACAGG
rnacentral:rRNA from 1 species